rnacentral:misc_RNA from 1 species
UCACGACGUUGUAAAACGACGUUAUGCAUGAACGUAAUGCUCACAACUUCCCUCUAGACCUAGCUGUUGUUGAAGCUCCAUCCAUAAAUGGAUAAGAUUUAGAUCUUAGUGUAUACGAGUUGUUGAAGGAGCAAUAUCACAUUUCUUGUUUUAUCAAGAGGGUUGGUAUUGCUCCUUCAUUUAGUUUUUAGUAAUGUUUUAUUCACAUAAGAGCCUUUUUUUUUAAGGUAAGAAAAACUCAAUUAAAUAAUGAUGAAUGUUAAAAAUAGAAUCUCUUAAAUCUUUUUAGAAGGGGUGCGGGCGGAUGUAGCCAAGUGGAUUAAGGCAGUGGAUUGUGAAUCCACCAUGCGCGCCUGUGUGAAAUUAUUAUCCACCA